AGCAAGCUGACCAUUACGCCGCGUGAGGGACGAAGGCUUCUGAGUUGUAAACCUCUUUCGGUAGGAACGAUUGUGACGGUACCUACAGAAGAAGCACCGGCCAACUAUGUGCCAGCAGCCGCGGUGAUACAUAGGGUGCAAGCGUUAUUCGGAUUUAUUGGGCGUAAAGAGCUCGUAGGCGGUUCGAUCAGUCGGGUGUGAAACCCCCAGGCUUAACCUGGGGCAGCCACUCGAAACUGUCGUGACUAGAGUUUGGUAGGGGAUCACGGAAUUCCUGGUGUAGCGGUGGAAUGCGCAGAUAUCAGGAGGAACACCAGCAGCGAAGGCGGUGAUCUGGGCCAAUACUGACGCUGAGGAGCGAAAGCGUGGGGAGCGAACAGGAUUAGAUACCCUGGUAGUCCACGCCGUAAACGGUGGGCACUAGGUGUGGGGACUUUUCAACGGUUUCCGCGCCGCAGCUAACGCAUUAAGUGCCCCGCCUGGGGAGUACGGNCGCAAGGCUAAAACUCAAAGAAAUUGACGGGGGCCCGCACAAGCGGCGGAGCAUGCGGCUUAAUUCGAUGCAACGCGAAAAAACUUACCUAGGUUUGACAUGUAGGGGAAAUCCAUAGAGAUCUGGGGUGCUUCGGGGUCCUACACAGGUGGUGCUGGCUGGCGUCAGCUCUGUCGGAGAUGUCGGGUAGGUCCGAAGAGAAGGAACCUGGUCUGUGUUGCCACCAGUAAGUGGGGAUCGAGGGAUGCCGGGUCAUCGA
rnacentral:rRNA from 1 species